rnacentral:lncRNA from 1 species
GAUCAGUGCUAAGGAGCUAUUUUAUGCCCUGGUCAGACAAAUCACUAGAAAACCACCCGUGGAAAAGAAGAAAGCGAAAAAGAAAUCGGGCUGCUGCUUUGGACCCCACCGCGCAGCGGCUCUGAGCCACAUGGCAGGAAUGAAGAACUGUUGCCUCAUUGGAAAGGGCCAGCAUUCCAGACUUCAAAAAACACCCGAAUGAAUGAAUGAACAGCAUCCCUGAAGAGGCUUCUCCUGUUUCACAUAUUAUGUGAAGAACCUGGAUCUUAUAAUGCUUUGCACAAGUUCCCUGGAGAAAGACCUGCUCUGUGUAUGUCAGACAAUAGUAUUUCUCCUUUGCAAUAGCAGUUACAGCAGAUGUGAAAAUAAUAUGCUUGACUCUAAUAGGAUUAUGCAAACGAGCAUGGAUGCAUCUACUCUAAUUAAAGGACUUCAUGUUGACCUUUUUAUCCUCAUUCCUCCCCUUCAAGCACUGACAAGCUAAGUUUUGGAGUCAUUGCAUGCUUGCAAAAGGCAUCAUUCCCGAUCCCCAAAAGGCUAUCCUUCCUGCCCAUAACACAUGGCGACUGGAACAACCUCCAGGAACUGAUGCAGAGUGAGAGGAGCAGAACCAGGAGAACGUUGUACGCAGAGAUGGAUACACUGUGGUACAAUCAAAUGUAAUGGACUUCUCUACUAGCAGCAAUGCAAUGAUCCAGGACAAUCUGAGUGACUUAUGAGAAAGAAGCUGUCCACAUCCAGAGGAAGAACUGUGGGAGCGGAAACACAGAAGCAAAACAAAGGCUUGAUCACAUGGGUUCAUGGGGAUAUGGCUGGGGAUGGAGACUAAAGGAUCACCCUAGUACAAAUAUCAGUAAUAUGGAAAUGGGUUUGGAUCAGUGACACAUGUAAAACCCAGAGGAGUUGUGCCUCAGGUAUGGGAGGCGAGAGGGAGGAGUGGAGGGAAAGAACAUGAAUCUUGUGUCAACAUGGAAUUUAGGAAUCCCAAACUUGUGGCCUAGUGGGGUCUGAUGAACCCCAAUUUUCAGGACUAGCUGGUAGAUUGGAGACCCCAAAACUUGUCCUUGUUCCCUGUUCCCAUGAGAAACCUACCCUGAAGGGAAAUGAUGACCCUGGGUGAGAUAAGCAUAUGCCAAGGACAUUCUUUGUUCUAGGUAGCGUCCCCUAUUGUAUUAGAACCUUUCUCUGGAAGGUCAGACCUGGGCAUGAACCAUCCUUUAGUAACUAUUGUAAGCAGCCCCCUUCUCUUGCACCCUAGCCUCUAGCUAUGAUUCUUUUCCCCAGCUUGAUUGUAUCUUGUCAGUGUGGUUUGGACACUCCCAUUUUCCUUGUAGCCAUAGUGAUGUCCAUCAUCUUUCCCUGCCCCCGGACUCCCCAAAGGGUGUAGAGGUUCCCCAAGUUCUUCUGUUCCCAGAGUCCCUCCUGAGUGGGUGGCACUCCCAGGGGCUGGUGACCAGGGCGUCCAGACUCCGUGCAGUCUCGGG